UGUAAACGAUAGUGCAUUGUCUCUGUUCGAACUACGGUUGUUGCACAGUCCAGAUUCUCAAGUACCUUUGUCAUUUACAGCUAUAAAAGAAAAUCCUGCUGCUGUUCGUGAAAUAGCUAACGUAUAUCGGAAGGAUACAAAAAUCGACUACAAGAGCAACACUAGUACUGGACGAGAUUGCCAUCAUCAAGCAUGGAAAUAUGAUCAUCGAUACAGAGCAUAUGACUAUCAGGACAGCAGAAGUGACCUAUUUGUUGUUUCGCCAGCAAUAGAAGCACAGGU